GCGGGGGUUUCCUUCCCCGCCGCGACCCCAUAUCCCUCCGCUCUACGGUGCCCCUCCUCGCUCCACGGUCGCGGAAUCCGGAUGAGAUCGGCAGGAUCCGCUCUCGGGCGAGGGUUUUCUCUCUAUAAGUCGCUGCCUCGACCCAUGGGAACUCCGACGAACGGUGUACAUGCCGGCAGCCGGCGGGCCGGCGGAUCGGCUCCAGCCGCGUCCACCCUCACCUCCUCGUCCAUGACCUACUCUGCCCGGACGCCCGAGGUGACCGCGUGAUAUCAGAGAAGAUACUAUUUUUUCAGAAAAAAAGGAAAGUAGGAUUUGAACGCCAUCCGCGAGUCCUCCAUCUAAGAGAAAUAUGGUAGUAGUCCAUAUAGAGUACAAGAGCUGACCAAUGUGGAGGCGUGGAGCAGACUGACAAUGGAAAUACACAGGCUAAUGCCUUUAUUCUCCAUGUUUGCUAAAAGAGAGCUGCCCAGGAGCAACCAUGGGGAUGCUCCGCGUUCAAGGUGUACAAGGCCGAUUUGGAGUGGUUCCCUCGCAAGCCCCUGCUAUUCCCCACCUCUCGCGGGGUUCUAGGCAGGAAGGUGAGUGGGAGCACCAUAUGUCAGGGAGUUUUGGUUUAAAGAGAGAUCACUGGGGAUGAGUUCACAACCAUGUUCCUGCUCAUUUUUGGCGAUAUGGUUCAGAGAGUGGUUUCCAAGGAGGUACAGAUAGCAAAGUUCAAACAAUUCAGUGCAGCAGCAGCAACACCUCCAAGGUGAGAAAUAUGUUCCUAUUUAUCCUUCUUUGCUAGCUGUGUUCCUCUGUCGGGCAUCGACCAUGAUCUCCAUGUCGCCACUAUGGCCAUAGCUCCUCGGAUCCAGGACGCUGGGCUCGCAUGGUCUAGGCCACUAUCGAUUUGUUUCUCUUGGUCGAUGGCCUCUUUCGCCUAUGGUCGGAUCUGCGCGUCAGCGUCCACAGGAGGACUAGGAUCUGGCUGUGCUCCACGACCAUCACAACCAAGCCGGGGAGCGCCAGAGAUCACAACUUGAAAAUUUUAACUGCAAUAUUUGUUGGUCAGUGUCCUCUGAAAUUGUUUGUAAGGUAGUGCUCUAUUCUGUAUAGCAUCCUUGGAAGAUUGUGUGGUGUGAUGCUUUAUUUAUAAAGCGGGGCGUAUAGCCCUUUUUGUUAUUCUGUAUAACAAAGGGAAAGAGCCUCAGUUUGGUAUAGCAAUGGGGGUGAUCCUUCGUUGGAAGAAACAUUAGACUUACUGUUUUUUUAUACUAGCAUAGUGUUGGUUGUUAAUUUUAAGUGUAUCAUCAGUUUUUUCAGCCAAUGAAGUUAUGCUCACGACAUGGAGAACUUCAAGGACAACCUGCCUGAACAGUUUCUACCUGAUUAUUGAACUAGGCCAUUUACUAUACAAAUAGUUAUUUUGUUGCAAGUUACGCCCGUUGCUUCUAAAUACUACACUUUUGGUUGCAUUUUGCAACUAAGAAUGACACAAGCAGACUCUAAAACAUUCGAGCAAUGCCCAAGGUUAGUGCAGGAAGCAUAGUAGUUUGCUUUAGUAGAAAUUAUAUUCCUUUUUUCCACUACUGUGAACAUGGACGUGAGUAGGUAAUUUCUCCUAAAAAAACCUAAUUAAUGUAUUGUUGAACCUAAUUUUGAGAUGAUUUUUAUUCUACCAUUGUACAGUGCACAUUAGCAUCGUCUAAAUACAUAUGUCUCUGGGGGUUUCUUUUUGGUGGCAAAUUGAUUCUUGCAAUCAUAGCGGAAAGGCCAGCAAUAAGGCACUUUACACUGAUGAAAUUUGCAUAAGUAUUCCUCUUUGUGAUACGAUUUCACCAAAAGUUUCAACAUUAAGAUGUUUACUUAGUUAAACCCGAACUGAUGCACCCACCCAUACAUGUAUAAGCUCCAAAAAAAACAAUAUGCAAAGAAUUUUUCAGCUUUCGGGCUAUAAGCAUUAGACAUUUUCAAAAGAAAUGCUGAAUGUUAGUAUCAAUUGAAUCAAUUUGACCUUAACACAGUGCAGGUACUGUUAAAUCUAUAGUUGUAAUUUAUUCAUCUGUAACUUGAUUUUCUUUUCACUUCUGUUUUUAUAAAUUCAUGUAGUCGGCUAUAAUAAUGAUAUUUUUUUUUCUUUUGAGAGAGAAA